rnacentral:lncRNA from 1 species
UGGAAUUGAAGAUGCGUUUGGUUGCUCCUCUUCCCUUCGUUCCGUUGAAUGUUGUUCUGGUUCUUUCUGAUUUUCCUCAACUUCAGUAACCACAGGUUCACCUUUUACUGUUUCUGUAGGCUCAACUUCAGUAGCCACAGGUUCUUCUUUUACCGUUUCUGUAGCUUGAACUUCAGUAGCCACAGGUUCUUCUUUUACCAUUUCUCUAGGAUCAACUUCAGUAACCACAGGUUUGACUUUUACUGAUUCUGUCAGAUCAACUUCAGUAACCAGGGGUUCUUUUACUGUUUUUGUAAUUUCAACUUCUGUAGCCACAGCUUCUUCUUUUACUGUCUCUGUAGGAUCAACUUCAGUAACUAUAGGUUCGUCUUUUACCGUUUCUGUUGCCUCGAAUUCAGUAGCUGCAGGUUCAUCUUUUACCAUUUCUGUAGGCUCAACUACAGUUGUCACAGGUUCUUCUUUUACGGUUUCUGUAGCUUCAACUUCAGUAGCCACAGAUUCUUCUUUUACUGUUUCUGUAGCUUCAACUUCAGUAGCCACUGGUUCUUCUUUUACUGUUUCUGUAGCUUCAACUUCAGUAGCCACUGGUUCUUCUUUUACUGUUUCUGUAGCUUCAACUUCAGUAGCUGCAGGUUCGUCUUUUACCGUUUCUGUAGCCUCAACUUCAGUUGCCACAGGUUCUUCUUUUACCGUUUCUGUAGGCUCAACUUCAGUAGCCACGGGUUCUUCUUUUACUGUUUCUGUAGCUUCAGCUUCAGUAGCUAGAGGUUCUUCUUUUACCGUUUCUGUAGGAUCAACUUCAGUAACCACAGGUUCGUCUUUUACGGUUUCUGUAACCUUAACUUCAGUAGCUGCAGGUUCUUCUUUUACUGUUUCCGUAGCCUCAACUUCAGUAGCCACAAGUUCUUCUUUUAGUGUUUCUGUAGCCUCAACUUCAGUAACCACGGGUUCUUCUUUUACUAUCUCUGCA